GUUCCAAUGAAGAUCUUCGUUAGUCGAUCUAUUCAAUCGAUGGAAUCCAGACGAUCACAGGAGAUGUUAGAAAUUUUGCCCACCUUCGAGCGCCGGGACUCACAAAGCUACUCGCCUCAACUGAAGAGACAUUGUUAUGCUUUAGUUAACAUCAUUGAUUUAUGGUGUUCUCUAAGCGAUCUAAGUGCGAUAAAGAAGGAUAAAACCAAAAACAAGAUUAUUCUAUAAAAAAGUACAUUCACGAGAGCAAAGCAGUAAUUCAUAGUGUAUUCCGUCUUGGUAGAACCGAGCGAAAGAUGGAGAAACACAAAAAAUAUAAGACUGUAAAGAAAUACAAGAGCAAUAAUACAAGGUGUUUUCCUUUUGCAGCGGAACCGCGCGGAAUAAAAAGAAACACCACAACCAAGAUUGGAUUGACAAAUCAAAACGAGCGUUGGUCUAUGGUGUUUUCCAUCUUGGUAGAACCAAGUGAAAGAUGGAUAAACACCAAAAAAUCAACAGUAUGACUCUGAUACUAUGUUAGAAUAGUUGGAAAACUAUCAUGACUAUAUUGAAUUGUGUAUUAUUCUUUCAUAGAGAUACCCUAUUUAUAAUAAGGAAUGUAAUUCUAGUUACAAUCUUACUAGAACUCCUAAUCUGAAAAUAACUCUAUAAUAAUACUUCUAAUUA
rnacentral:lncRNA from 1 species